GUCUUUUUGAUUAUAAUUUAAAGUCUAACCUGCCCAAUGAAUAUUUAAAUGGCCGCGGUAUUUUGACCGUGCAAAGGUAGCAUAAUCAUUAGUUUUUUAAUUGAAAGCUAGAAUGAAAGGUUGGACGAAAAAAUAACUGUCUCAGUAUAAUUUAAUUAGAACUUUAUUUUUAAGUUAAAAAGCUUAAAUUUAUUUAAAAGACGAGAAGACCCUAUAGAGUUUAAUAUUUAUAUAAAUUUUAUAUUUUAUAAUUUAAAUAAUUUAUAUAAAUAUUUUGUUGGGGUGAUAAUUAAAUUUAAUUAACUUUAUUUUUUUUUUACAUUAAUUUAUGAAUUUUUGAUCCAUUUUUGAUGAUUAUAAGAUUAAAUUACCUUAGGGAUAACAGCGUAAUUUUUUUAGAGAGUUCAAAUCGAAAAAAAAGAUUGCGACCUCGAUGUUGGAUUAAAGUUAAUUUUUGGUGUAGAAGCUAAAAUAUUAAGUCUGUUCGACUUUUAAAACUUUACAUGAUCUGAGUUUAAACCGGUGUGAGCCAGGUUGGUUUCUAUCUUUAAAUAAUUAAAUAUUUUAGUACGAAAGGACCAAAUAUUUGUAAUAAUUAUUAUAUUUUUGAAUAU
rnacentral:rRNA from 1 species